CGCUUUUUCUUUCCCGGAGCUUGCUCCACCGAAAGAAAAAGAGUGGCGAACGGGUGAGUAACACGUGGGUAACCUGCCCAUCAGAAGGGGAUAACACUUGGAAACAGGUGCUAAUACCGUAUAACACUAUUUUCCGCAUGGAAGAAAGUUGAAAGGCGCUUUUGCGUCACUGAUGGAUGGACCCGCGGUGCAUUAGCUAGUUGGUGAGGUAACGGCUCACCAAGGCAACGAUGCAUAGCCGACCUGAGAGGGUGAUCGGCCACACUGGGACUGAGACACGGCCCAGACUCCUACGGGAGGCAGCAGUAGGGAAUCUUCGGCAAUGGACGAAAGUCUGACCGAGCAACGCCGCGUGAGUGAAGAAGGUUUUCGGAUCGUAAAACUCUGUUGUUAGAGAAGAACAAGGAUGAGAGUAAAAUGUUCAUCCCUUGACGGUAUCUAACCAGAAAGCCACGGCUAACUACGUGCCAGCAGCCGCGGUAAUACGUAGGUGGCAAGCGUUGUCCGGAUUUAUUGGGCGUAAAGCGAGCGCAGGCGGUUUCUUAAGUCUGAUGUGAAAGCCCCCGGCUCAACCGGGGAGGGUCAUUGGAAACUGGGAGACUUGAGUGCAGAAGAGGAGAGUGGAAUUCCAUGUGUAGCGGUGAAAUGCGUAGAUAUAUGGAGGAACACCAGUGGCGAAGGCGGCUCUCUGGUCUGUAACUGACGCUGAGGCUCGAAAGCGUGGGGAGCGAACAGGAUUAGAUACCCUGGUAGUCCACGCCGUAAACGAUGAGUGCUAAGUGUUGGAGGGUUUCCGCCCUUCAGUGCUGCAGCAAACGCAUUAAGCACUCCGCCUGGGGAGUACGACCGCAAGGUUGAAACUCAAAGGAAUUGACGGGGGCCCGCACAAGCGGUGGAGCAUGUGGUUUAAUUCGAAGCAACGCGAAGAACCUUACCAGGUCUUGACAUCCUUUGACCACUCUAGAGAUAGAGCUUCCCCUUCGGGGGCAAAGUGACAGGUGGUGCAUGGUUGUCGUCAGCUCGUGUCGUGAGAUGUUGGGUUAAGUCCC
rnacentral:rRNA from 1 species